GUUGUGGCAUAGAAGUGUGAUAAGUGGACUGAUAACACCAUAGGCAUUUGCUUAAUGGCACAGCAAAUAAGGACUUAAAAAACAGUAAUGCCUUCAGCCAGAGGGAGCAGAGAUUGCUUGUGGGACAUCACAUUUCAGUAAUCAAAGCCUGCUGUGAUACCUUCGCCCUCUUAUUAUUUACUCAUCACAAUCUCAUAGAUCUUUUCGCAACGCUCAAGGAACCCCAUCUCAUCGUUUAUCGUGUCCCUCCUGAGGUGAAUAAACGCUACCUCAAUCAACCUGCAACACCUGCGACAGAAUUAGAUCGGUUAAAUUACCGUAUCCAAUUUGCAGAUACGGAAUGCACAGUAGCGGUUCCACCAACCCAAGGCGUUCAGCAUCGUUCUUCUCCGUAGGACUGGAAUGCACUGAGGCACUCCUGACAUGUGACGCGUUGAAGGAUGCAGAGAGCAUGCGCACUGUGGAACCAAGGUGAGGAGAGAGGUGGAGAGGCUGGGUCUCAGCCUCAGAAGAAAAAUUGGCCUCAACUUCGAGAACUAAAUUAUUCAGAAAAGGACUGAUAAUUUUACCAUAUAAUUAAAAGUUAAAUUAUA